rnacentral:rRNA from 1 species
GAAUUUUGGACAAUGGGGGCAACCCUGAUCCAGCCAUCCCGCGUGUGCGAUGAAGGCCUUCGGGUUGUAAAGCACUUUUUUCAGGGAAGAAAAGGCCCUGGCUAAUACCUGGAGUUGCUGACGGUACCUGCAGAAUAAGCACCGGCUACCUACUUGCCAGCAGCCGCGGUAAUACGUAGGGUGCCAGCGGUAAUCGGAAUUAGUGGGCGUAAAGCGGGCGCAUGCGGGUUGUCAAGAAGGAUGUGAAAUCCCAGGGCUUAAACUUGGAACUGCAUUCUUAACUGCCAGGCUAGAGUAUGUCAGAGGGGGGUAGAAUUCCACGUGUAGCAGUGAAAUGCGUAGAGAUGUGGAGGAAUACCGAUGGCGAAGGCAGCCCCCUGGGAUAAUACUGACGCUCAUGCACGAAAGCGUGGGGAGCAAACA